CCUACGGGUGGCUGCAGUCGAGAAUCAUUCACAAUGGGGGAAACCCUGAUGGUGCGACGCCGCGUGGGGGAAUGAAGGUCUUCGGAUUGUAAACCCCUGCCAUGUGGGAGCAAAUGAAAAAGAUAGUACCACAAGAGGAAGAGACGGCAAACCCUGUGCCAGCAGCCGCGGUAAAACAGCGGUCUCAAGCGUUGUUCGGAAGCACUGGGCGUAACGCGUGCGUAGGCUGUUGCGUAAGUCGUGUGGAGAAGGCGCGGGCGCAACCCGCGGACGGCACAUGAUACUGCGAGACUAGAGUAGUGGAGGGGGAACCGGAAUGCUCGGUGUAGCAGUGAAAUGCGUAGAUAUCGAGAGGAACACUCGUGGCGAAGGCGGGUUCCUGGACAUUAACUGACGCUGAGGCACGAAGGCCAGGGGAGCGAAAGGGAUUAGAUACCACAGUAGUC
rnacentral:rRNA from 1 species